UGGGCUGUUUGCAGUCUGUGGUGGGAGGGAGUCAAGGAAAGGGGAAUUAAAGUUCAUGGAGGAAGCUGUAGUCUUAGGUCAAGCUGAGAUGUGACCUUUGGAGCUUGCCAAGUCCACGAGGGAACAUAAGUUGCCUUUGGACAGCUUCUCAACGGCCCCUCUGUGGCCCUGAGUCUCAGGCCCUGUUCUGGAGGCUGGGAAGUCCAAGAUCUAUGUACCAGAAGGUUUGGUGUCUGGUGAAGGCCCAACCCUCACAGAUGGUGCUGUCCAUGUAUCCUGGGAUGGCAGAAGGGACUGGAGGGCAAAAGGACCAGGUCAUUUUUACCUCCCUACAUCUUCCAUAACCAGAAGCACUCCAAGAACAACACUUUCAUUCAUGGACUUAACAACUACAUUAGAUCAUACCAGCCUGUCACUUCAAAGUCGCCAGUGUCAAGCUUUGUUUCCUGCAAUGUACAGAAGAAAUGGCUUUUAUAGGAAAAAAAGUCUUCAAAAGUCAUUUUAAAAAUAAAAGGACAUAUAUGCAAGUGAUCAUAACGAUAUACAAGAUUAAGUGGGGAUUAAGGGAAAGAGGCUAUUUAGGAUUUCUAACAUUUUGAAUCUGGAUACCUAAAAGUGUGGUCUUGACAAAUAAAAGAUAUGGGAGGAGAUUAAAAUGAGGAAAAAUUGAAGAGUUCUGCCUUGCAAAUGUUGAGUUUCUGCUGACAGUGCAUUGUCCAUGUAUGAGUCAUUUGAAAAUGUAGAAUUGGAAUUCAAGAUGAGAGAUACAGAUGUAAAAGUCAUAGGAAAAUUAGCAAAACAUGAGCAUUUUCAGAAUAAGUAAUUCCACAAGGAGAUCUAUCCAGAGAAGGAAUUUGAGGCCGAAUCCUUAAGAAACAGUAAUGUUCAAGGGAAACAAAGAGCAUCUUCUAUGGUCUGAAUGCAUCCCCACAAAAUUCAUGUUAAAAGUUAUUUGCCAAUGUGAUGAUAUUAAGAUGUAGGGCCUUUGGGAGCUGAUUAGGUUAUGAGGGUGGAACCCUUGUGAAUGGAUUAGUGCCCCUAUAAAAGGAUUCAAGGAAACUAGCUAGGCCCGUCUCCCUUUCUGUCCCUUCUGCCAUGUGAGGACAUAGCAUUAGUCCCUGCUGAAGGAUGCAGCAACACGAUGCCAUUUUGGAAGCAAGUCCAGGCCCUCACCAGACUUAACCUGCCAGCACCUUUAUUUUGGACUUCCCAGCCUCCAGAACCAUA